GGUCAGAUGGCCGAGCGGUUAAGGCGCCAGAAUCAGGAUCUGGUCACAUUGUGGCGUGGGUUCGAGUCCCACUCUGAUCA
rnacentral:tRNA from 6 species